UACGAAGGGGGCUAGCGUUGUUCGGAAUCACUGGGCGUAAAGCGCACGUAGGCGGAUCUUUAAGUCAGGGGUGAAAUCCCGAGGCUCAACCUCGGAACUGCCUUUGAUACUGGGGAUCUCGAGUCCGGGAGAGGUGAGUGGAACUGCGAGUGUAGAGGUGAAAUUCGUAGAUAUUACGGAAGAACACCAGUGGCGAAGGCGGCUCACUGGACCGGUAUUGACGCUGAGGUGCGAAAGCGUGGGGAGCAAAC
rnacentral:rRNA from 1 species